UACGGAGGAUGCAAGCGUUAUCCGGAUUUAUUGGGUUUAAAGGGUGCGCAGGCGGGGACGUAAGUCAGCGGUGAAAUUUUGCAGCUUAACUGUAACAGUGCCGUUGAUACUGCCAGGCUAGGAUUUGGUUGCUGUGGGUGGAAUGUGUGGUGUAGCGGUGAAAUGCUUAGAUAUCACACAGAAUAUCGAUUGCGAAGGCAGCUCACAAAGCCAAGAUUGACGCUGAGGCACGAAAGUGUGGGGAUCAAACA
rnacentral:rRNA from 1 species